GAUUAAGUUAUUAAGGGCGCACGGUGGAUGCCUUGGCACUAGAAGCCGAUGAAGGACGUUACUAACGACGAUAUGCUUUGGGGAGCUGUAAGUAAGCUUUGAUCCAGAGAUUUCCGAAUGGGGAAACCCAGCAUGAGUUAUGUCAUGUUAUCGAUAUGUGAAUACAUAGCAUAUCAGAAGGCACACCCGGAGAACUGAAACAUCUUAGUACCCGGAGGAAGAGAAAGAAAAUUCGAUUCCCUUAGUAGCGGCGAGCGAAACGGGAAGAGCCCAAACCAACAAGCUUGCUUGUUGGGGUUGUAGGACACUCUAUACGGAGUUACAAAGGACGACAUUAGACGAAUCAUCUGGAAAGAUGAAUCAAAGAAGGUAAUAAUCCUGUAGUCGAAAAUGUUGUCUCUCUUGAGUGGAUCCUGAGUACGACGGAGCACGUGAAAUUCCGUCGGAAUCUGGGAGGACCAUCUCCUAAGGCUAAAUACUCUCUAGUGACCGAUAGUGAACCAGUACCGUGAGGGAAAGGUGAAAAGCACCCCGGAAGGGGAGUGAAAUAGAACCUGAAACCGUGUGCUUACAAGUAGUCAGAGCCCGUUAAUGGGUGAUGGCGUGCCUUUUGUAGAAUGAACCGGCGAGUUACGAUUUGAUGCAAGGUUAAGCAGUAAAUGUGGAGCCGUAGCGAAAGCGAGUCUGAAUAGGGCGUUUAGUAUUUGGUCGUAGACCCGAAACCAGGUGAUCUACCCUUGGUCAGGUUGAAGUUCAGGUAACACUGAAUGGAGGACCGAACCGACUUACGUUGAAAAGUGAGCGGAUGAACUGAGGGUAGCGGAGAAAUUCCAAUCGAACCUGGAGAUAGCUGGUUCUCUCCGAAAUAGCUUUAGGGCUAGCCUCAAGUGAUGAUUAUUGGAGGUAGAGCACUGUUUGGACGAGGGGCCCCUCUCGGGUUACCGAAUUCAGACAAACUCCGAAUGCCAAUUAAUUUAACUUGGGAGUCAGAACAUGGGUGAUAAGGUCCGUGUUCGAAAGGGAAACAGCCCAGACCACCAGCUAAGGUCCCAAAAUAUAUGUUAAGUGGAAAAGGAUGUGGCGUUGCCCAGACAACUAGGAUGUUGGCUUAGAAGCAGCCAUCAUUUAAAGAGUGCGUAAUAGCUCACUAGUCGAGUGACACUGCGCCGAAAAUGUACCGGGCUAAACAUAUUACCGAAGCUGUGGAUUGUCCUUUGGACAAUGGUAGGAGAGCGUUCUAAGGGCGUUGAAGCAUGAUCGUAAGGACAUGUGGAGCGCUUAGAAGUGAGAAUGCCGGUGUGAGUAGCGAAAGACGGGUGAGAAUCCCGUCCACCGAUUGACUAAGGUUUCCAGAGGAAGGCUCGUCCGCUCUGGGUUAGUCGGGUCCUAAGCUGAGGCCGACAGGCGUAGGCGAUGGAUAACAGGUUGAUAUUCCUGUACCACCUAUAAUCGUUUUAAUCGAUGGGGGGACGCAGUAGGAUAGGCGAAGCGUGCGAUUGGAUUGCACGUCUAAGCAGUAAGGCUGAGUAUUAGGCAAAUCCGGUACUCGUUAAGGCUGAGCUGUGAUGGGGAGAAGACAUUGUGUCUUCGAGUCGUUGAUUUCACACUGCCGAGAAAAGCCUCUAGAUAGAAAAUAGGUGCCCGUACCGCAAACCGACACAGGUAGUCAAGAUGAGAAUUCUAAGGUGAGCGAGCGAACUCUCGUUAAGGAACUCGGCAAAAUGACCCCGUAACUUCGGGAGAAGGGGUGCUCUUUAGGGUUAACGCCCAGAAGAGCCGCAGUGAAUAGGCCCAAGCGACUGUUUAUCAAAAACACAGGUCUCUGCUAAACCGUAAGGUGAUGUAUAGGGGCUGACGCCUGCCCGGUGCUGGAAGGUUAAGAGGAGUGGUUAGCUUCUGCGAAGCUACGAAUCGAAGCCCCAGUAAACGGCGGCCGUAACUAUAACGGUCCUAAGGUAGCGAAAUUCCUUGUCGGGUAAGUUCCGACCCGCACGAAAGGCGUAACGAUUUGGGCACUGUCUCAACGAGAGACUCGGUGAAAUCAUAGUACCUGUGAAGAUGCAGGUUACCCGCGACAGGACGGAAAGACCCCGUGGAGCUUUACUGUAGCCUGAUAUUGAAAUUCGGCACAGCUUGUACAGGAUAGGUAGGAGCCUUUGAAACGUGAGCGCUAGCUUACGUGGAGGCGCUGGUGGGAUACUACCCUAGCUGUGUUGGCUUUCUAACCCGCACCACUUAUCGUGGUGGGAGACAGUGUCAGGCGGGCAGUUUGACUGGGGCGGUCGCCUCCUAAAAGGUAACGGAGGCGCUCAAAGGUUCCCUCAGAAUGGUUGGAAAUCAUUCAUAGAGUGUAAAGGCAUAAGGGAGCUUGACUGCGAGACCUACAAGUCGAGCAGGGUCGAAAGACGGACUUAGUGAUCCGGUGGUUCCGCAUGGAAGGGCCAUCGCUCAACGGAUAAAAGCUACCCCGGGGAUAACAGGCUUAUCUCCCCCAAGAGUUCACAUCGACGGGGAGGUUUGGCACCUCGAUGUCGGCUCAUCGCAUCCUGGGGCUGUAGUCGGUCCCAAGGGUUGGGCUGUUCGCCCAUUAAAGCGGUACGCGAGCUGGGUUCAGAACGUCGUGAGACAGUUCGGUCCCUAUCCGUCGUGGGCGUAGGAAAUUUGAGAGGAGCUGUCCUUAGUACGAGAGGACCGGGAUGGACAUACCUCUGGUGUACCAGUUGUCGUGCCAACGGCAUAGCUGGGUAGCUAUGUGUGGACGGGAUAAGUGCUGAAAGCAUCUAAGCAUGAAGCCCCCCUCAAGAUGAGAUUUCCCAACUUCGGUUAUAAGAUCCCUCAAAGAUGAUGAGGUUAAUAGGUUCGAGGUGGAAGCAUGGUGACAUGUGGAGCUGACGAAUACUAAUCGAUCGAAGACUUAAUCAA
rnacentral:rRNA from 1 species